rnacentral:lncRNA from 1 species
UGGGGUGUGAGGGCCAGCCAGUGUCACUGGACAUACCCAAGAAGUUGUCAUUUGAUGGGUUUUUGAGGAUGUUGAGGUCAUGGUCUGCAGUAACCACGGCUAAGGACCGAGGCAUAGACCUGUUAUCGGAACGGGUGGUGAAAGAGUUUGAAACUGCCUGGGGUGGCUCCCGGGUGGUUCCAUCAGUCACCUACAACGCUUUUAUGCUUGCAGGGAAAGUCAAGCUGUAACCGUCAGUCUCUAAUAACCCACCUUCUUGUUGUACUGCUUCAAAUAAACUCUCUAAACAGCAGUUUUCUUUCUUGUUGAGGAAUUGUUUUACCAGAACAGAAUGAGGUGAGGUUAAAAAUCUAGUCCAAUUUCAUCUGAAAGUGCAAUUUCUGGCCAUAAAUUAAGGAACGUUGUGAACUACUUGUGUGAUUAUUGCAAUUACCUACCAUAAGCUUUCAUUUUGGCAGGGGGUUAAAAACAGUUUUUAUUCUUCAAAAAGAAAAAAAAAAGUUCUUCAAUUUUUAAAAUCACAUUUGAAGAAUUUUGUGCUGAAAAUAGUGUUUUUUUAACCCCAGAAUCAACAUAUUAUAAUAUAUAUAUAUAUAUAUAUAUAUAUAUAUAUAUAUAUAUAUCUAAAACAAAAUAAAAUUUUAAAAAUAAAUUUAAAGUGUCUGAAAUAUUUUCUUAUAGUAUUUUAAGAAAUAAUUAAAAAUACAAUGAAUAGAUGGAGAAUAUUGAGAAUAGGGUUGCCAAUGAGACAGGGAUUUUUUGGAUACCUACCUUCAAUAUUCCACUUUUCUAUUAUGAUAAAUCAUAGUAACUAAGAUAUUUUUCAUAUUGAAAAUAAUAAUUAUAUAAUAUAAUUUAUAUUUUCAAUAUGUAUCUUAAAAUGUGAUAGGUUUGUAAUAUAACAAGUUCUUUAUUUUUUAAUCUUUAUUUGUUUAUUUUUUUAAAAACUUAUCAAUACCUCUUAUUAUUAUUACUAUUUAUCUUAAUUUUGUAAAAGACAAUUAUUUAAAAUAAAGCCAAUAUUUUUUUUUAUCCUAAUCUCCUUUUUCAAAUAUAAUAUUGCAUAUAUUGUGAUUUAAUUAAUCAUUGACAUUGUUUUAGCCAUUAUUUUUAUUUUUAAGAGAUAAUGUCGAAUUUAGAGAAUUCAUUUUGAAUCCGUUGAUUUCUAUGUUUAUUUGUGAGUUUGAUGUUGGGUUGUCUAUUUCUCAUUUAUUUGAUUUGGUAUGAGAAUAAUUUGAUUUCCUUUCAACUAUAUCGUGUCUUUGAAGGUUAUUUUUUUUUUUCUCGUCUUUAUGUCUAAUCUCGGUUUCUUUUCCUACCAUUUAUAAGCAUAUAGGGGGAUUUUUCUGGUUUCUCGGGAGCAAGAGAAGUGUAUUGGGAAAUACUUCUGAGGUAAGUUCACUCCAUAUUCCUUGUUAUCUUCGAUUUUACACUGUUCAUAAUUUUUUUCUGUUAUGUUUGAGAGUUAUUUGUUGACUCUAUGUAUGUACUAGAAAAUUCAUUUUAAAUUCUUUAAUUUCUAUGUUUCCUUGUGAGCUUGAUGUUGGGUUGUCUAUUUUGCAUUACCAUUUCUCAUAUUCUUCGUACCCUCAAAACUUUAUAUUUUUUUUAAAUUUUUUUUUUUCACUUGUAAAUGGAAUAAUAUUGUUUAUUCAUACUAACUAGGCUUAGAAAUUAUUUAAAAAAAAAUCAAAUAUGAAAAAAUUUAAGACGGUACAAAGAAUGUGACAAAGGUUUCUCACAUUCUUUGUACCCAAUGAUGAAAAUAUCGGUAAUCACGGAUAUAUCGGUAACUUGAUUUUACGGAUAUAUCGGAUAUAUCGGUGAAAUAUCGACGGAUAUUUUGAAAAAAAAUUUUGAUAAGUAAAAAAUUGAUCAAAACUUAUGGAAAUGUAAAAAAACCUCGUGUUAAUGUAAUUAAAAAUAUAAUAAAUAAUUUAAAGUUGUUUUUGUGAAGAAUUUGAUAUAUAUAUAUAUAUAUAUAUAAUAUGAUUUGUGAUAUUAAGCAUAAUUAUAUUAUAUUAGUUGUACUUAUACACUCAUUAUGAAGUUUCAUGACAAACUUAUUUUAGUAAAUAUCAAUAAUUUAUACAUAUUAUCACAUAGCUUGAGGUUCAAUUUUGACUAUUGGAUCACAUCCAGUUUCAAUUUGGACCAUCCAAUGCACUGGGGUCCAAAUUGAAAUAUCAAUAAAAUAUUUUAUUUAAGAUCUAAUUUCUAAAAUUUUAUUAAAAAUACGUGGUAACAACUUUCUUUUAUUAACAUUAAUUUAUUUAAAUAAUUAAAAUUAUUAAUAAUUUAUCUUAUUAAAUUAAUUUUAAUCCAUAGUAGUGAUUUAAUCAUAAAUAAUUAAUAAUUAUUUAUAUAGAGAGAGGAAAAUUGUUCUCAUGAUAUGUUUCCUUUUUUUUUUUUAAUCUCUACUAAAUCUAAAAAUAAAAAGGCCACCCACUUCUCUCACUCGGGCAUCAAGAAGCCCGAAGCCCUUUUCUGAAGUUGCCCUCCAGACGAGAGAAUCCCUAAAAAGGCCCUAUUUUCCUCUGCCACUCUCAAUCCUCCCCGGUACUAAUCUAAUCUUGUUAUUUAUUUUCAUUUUUCUGCAACCCCGUUUGAUUCCCAUGAAAAUCCAUCCGCCAUUCGAUUUCUGGGAAAAUUCAUCCUCGUUUGAUUUCCGAGAAAAUCCAUGCAAAACCCCCCAGGAAAACCAGAAAGAUUGCUUUUUAUUUUUUGCUUCCUGUGUUUUCUGGAUCUGUUCUAGGGGUCGCUUUGCUUUUGUGCCAUUGGAUUUAAAUUUCACGAACCCUAAAUCCACGAUUUUUGAGCCAGGCUAAAAAACACAACCUUUGCCUGCAAAUCAUGAUCAGAUUUUGUCACCUGUGCGCGGGCUGGACUGGUAGGAAAUAUCGGGAAAUUUUCAGAAAAAUCGGUAAAAAAUCGGCUAUACAAACCGAAAAUUCGCCGAUAAAUUGCAGUGUCCGGCUAUUUUUUGAAGAUUUCGCCGAUUUUCGUCUGCAUCCAUUUUUCGGCAAUUUUUUCGCCGAUUUUAACCGAAAUUUGGCGAAAUUUCUCCCAUCGACAUUUCGCCCCCCUCUUUCGUAUCGCCGACCACCGAAACCCGAAAUUUCGGCGAAAAAAAUGGAAACUUUCAUCCUUGUUUGUACCUCAAAUUUUUACAUUUUUUUCAAUUUAAUUAUUUUUUAUACAUCCACAGUGGUCAACAAUAUUUUUUACCUUAAUGAACGUCGCUUUUCGUAAAAGGCAUCAGCCCCGAGAGCAAAGGCAAGCAAAUGAAAUAUAAAAACGGAGUGGCACCGGCACAUUCCCCAUAACAAGAAUAGGGAAGAAUGGCAGGGCUGUUCAACAAGCAGGCGGAGAUCUACUUGGAUGCUCGCCCUAAUUAUCCCCCACACUGGUAUUCUAUGUUGGCCGCUCUCACUCCACAACACUCUUUGGCUUGGGAUGUCGGCAUGGGCAACGGUCAAGCAGCUCUCGGUGUCAGUCCUUUCUCCUGCCUCUCUCCCUGUCUCUAAUUUUAUUUGAUUAAACUCAUCUUUAUUUGCUCAUGUUGUGAUUUAUUUACCCUAAAUCACCUGAUGCGGUUCCUUUUAAUUUUUCUCUACACCUAUGAAAUAGAAAAUUUUAGAUUGAUUAAUUCCUUUUCCUGCAUUUUCCUUCAGCAUAUUAGAUUUAUUUUCUUGGGCAUAUUGAUGUUAAAAGUGCCAAUUAAAUUUACUCAUGGAGAAAAGGGGUUGUGAUGAAGCAAUUCAAAUCAUAAACACAUGUUAUGUUGGCAGGUAGCUGAGCAUUAUGAGCAGGUGAUUGCGACUGAUGUGAGCGAAGCCCAACUGAAAUGUGCCAUUCCACAUCCCCGGGUCAAAUACCUUCACACCCCCUUAUCUCUCCCCGAUGAUGAAAUAGUGAGGUUGAUAGGGGGCGAGGGUUCGGUUGAUUUGGUGACUGUGGCUCAAGCUGUCCACUGGUUCGACCUCCCAACCUUCUACCCUCUAGUAGCUCGCCUGCUAAGAAAGCCAGGGGGUGUAUUUGCUGUUUGGGGCUACAAUGACAUUGCAGUUAGUCCUACAUUUGACCCAGUGAUGAAGCGCUUCCACGACACCACUCUUACCUUCUGGAAUGAAAAGAUCCAAUGCAUAUUUGUUGAUGGUUACAAGACUCUGCCGUUCCCUUUUGAGAGUGUGGGGUUGGGGCGUGAGGGCCAGCCAGUGUCAUUGGAUAUACACAAGAAGUUGUCAUUUGAUGGGUUUUUGAGGAUGUUGAGGUCAUGGGCUGCAGUAACCACGGCUAAGGACCAAGGCGUAGACCUGUUAUCGGAACGGGUGGUGAAAGAGUUUGAAACUGCCUGGGGUGGUUCCCAGGUGGUUCCAUCAGUCACCUACAAGGCUUUUAUGCUUGAAGGGAAAGUCAAAAGAGUCUCUACUAACCC